UGGGAGAUCGAGGCUGCAGUGAGCUGUGAUUGUGCCACUGCACUCUACCCUCCAGCCUGGGUGCCUGAGUGAGACCCUGUCUCUAAAAAAAAGAAAAAAGGCAAGAAGAGUUCACUUGAUAUUUUAGCACCUAAGUGCUUUGCCAUUGCUUUUGUGAGUUAUAUAUAAAGUCAACAUUAUCUACCAUAUGUAAAAUUAGAAACUUUCUGUGUAUAUAUACGUGUAUAUAUAUACACGUAUAUGUCCUUUAUUUUGAACCUUGAUGUGCAUGUACGAAAAGUUCUUUCUGGUUGGAAUUCAGGUGGUGCUCUUUCAUAGCUGCUUGAUGACCAAAGUCACAUAAGACUAAUGAGAUAAUUCAUUUUUAAUACUUUAUGUUUUUUGACCCAUUUGUAGUUUUUGAAGUUUCUUACUAUUAUUGAUCCUUGAGGUUGCUGCAGGUCCAUCCGGAGCUGAUUGUCUAGAGUAGACCGAUUUGUGCAAAAUGACGAGUUUGACCGGAAUGCGUAUUUGUAGCCAGUUUUCAGUAAUUUUACCCUUAAUAGUGUUCAUUAAGAUAAGCUGUUUCUCCAUGGGGUGGGUUCUUGCCUCUCCUGCCUGGAGUUUGGAAGGCCUGGCUCCCACCCGGUCACUAGGCCCUGCACUCUGCUUUCUGUGCUGCGGCAAUCUCCCGCCUCUGUUAGUAACCCAGGCGCGAUGGGAUCCCUUUUAUUGGGUUGCAGUGGAGAAGGACCUCAGACUUCAGGCUUUCCGUCUCAGAAAGGGCCUCAGGUGGAGCAGGACAUUAGCUCUCUGUGUGAGUUUUCUCCCGGGACUACUAUCACAAAGGAUUUCAUAGCAGGAACUGGGUGGCUUUAAACAACAGAAAUGUAUUCUCUCAGAGCCUGGGCUAGAAGUCUGCAGUCAGGGUGUGAGCAGGGCAGUGCUCCCCUGGGACUCUGAGCGGGACUCUUCCAUGCCCCUUCCUAGCUUCUGGGGUGGCAGUCAACCCUUGCCAUUCCUGACUUGCAGCCGUCUGACCUCAGCAUCCACCUCUGCUGUCACUGGUGUUUUCCCUCUGCGUGUAUGUCCACAUUUUCCUCUCCUUAGAAGGAAACCAAUCAUGUUGGAUUAAGGGCCUUGCCUACUCCAUUAUGACCUCACCUUAAGUUAUUACAUCUGCAGUGACCCUAUUUCCAAAUUUGGUCAUGUUUUGAAUUUUUGGGGGAGGGGGUUAGGACUUCAUCUAUCUUUUUGGGAGGGAGAAUUGAACCCGUAACACUCAUGGUCUUUUCUUAGCAUAAUGGGUUUUGAAACUCUUUUGUACUUGACCCAGUGUCAGUAUGACUAAUGAAAAAUGAAGGCAGUUUGUUUCCUUGAAGUUUGGGUAUAGGUAACCCUUAAGAUAAGGACAUUUUGUGUUUAUGAAAAUAUACCGUAAUGCAGGUCAUAACAUUGGCAAAUCUACAGCUUCUCUGUAGGAGAGCAGGAAAGAGUCUUUGUAGCUGUGGGAGGUUACACAGCCUGUUGCACCUACCUGCAUGCCGAAGCCCAUAGAAGUGUGGUGUGCCCUCGUUUUCCAUCCCUUCAACCUGGCACAUGGUGCUUUUUCUCCAUUUCCAUAGUGCCCUGGUCCCAGGCUUUGGAACAAGUUCCCAGAUCCUUAGCUUCUCUCUCUUUAGAGUGGACACUCCACCUUCCUAGCACAAGGUUUGGAUGAGAUGACAUUGGCAUCCUGUCACCCGUGCACGCAUGUUUGCCCCGUGGGAACUGCCCUCUCCUCCCCACCUUCUCUUAGCAUUGGCCACACUGAAAGUGGCUGUCAGUGGCACAGCUGGAUUCUGUUGCUCUGCUAGCAGGGGCAUCUUGCUGCCAGGGUACCAGACUUUGCCCAGCAUCCAACUACCUAAAAGUAGCAGGAAGACAGCCAGAGGAGGUCCCCUGCUCGGAUUUGGUGGCUUUGCGGGGUGGGGGUUUCUUUGAGGAAGAUACUGCAGAUCUAGGGAGAUGCCCUAACUGCUGGGGGGUUCUGAGAGUCCUCAAGGCUGUGACACCAUGACACCCAGAGUAGCUGGGGCUGACUUCUUCUGCCUCCCACCCUGUGAUUGAGUAGUCUUAAAAUUUUGGGGGAUGAGGAAUGCUGUGGAGCAGUAUCUUAAUGUUUAGGAAAAGAAUUUGAUGUAAAAUCUCGCUUGACAUAAUUACUUUAAAAAUAUAUACAUAGAUUGCAUAAAGGAAUAUUUUAAUAAAAACACCAGUUAACCAAUAUAUUUGAAACCAUAUUUUCCCAAGUAUUGGUGUCAUGCUUAAGUUUUCUUUUAGGGGACUUUGUUUUUGACAUAGUACACAUAACAGAUCUUCAUUUACCAUUUAUUAUAUGAAGUACGUCACUUUACUCAGCUAAACCUCAGUUUCUGAUUCUGUAAAUUAGAAAUAAGAGUAACUAUUUUAUUAAUCUUAGAAACGGUUAUAAAGAUCAAAACAAAGGAUUUAUGCAUAUGUUGGCCAAUUGUAGGAAAUAAUUUCCCAGGUUUAUUUCAGUUGUGAGAUUUUUCAGGUUUCAAAAUGGAAUAAUUUGUAAAGGUGUUUUAAAGUUGCUAAGCACAGGUCAUUGAUGAUUAUGUCAGUUUGGAAACAUUCAUCAUACAAGUUGGGAACCUUGUAAAAUGAGUUUCACAAGGUCAUUUGCUUUACAUCCACAGAGUAGUGUAUAUUGCAGCUGAUCACAUUCUUGGGUCAGAAAUUAAUAUUGAUUUGUUAGGCUUUAAAUGUAAAUCAGUGUUUCUGUUUUUCUUUUGAGAAGACUAAAGUUGCUAACCUGUAUUCUUGUUCUGGAUUAUGCUGUUUGUACAAUAAAAAAAGAUGGAUCAUGACGAAUGCUGAUUAGCACCUUGGGGACUGUUGAUGGACUGAUGUACGGUGUAUUUUGGAAGGUAUGGUGACCACGUUGAGGUAUCUUUGGGCCAGUAGGAGAAGGAAGCAUAGUGUACAGGGUUUAAAAAUCAUAUACUGCCUUCAAAGUGAAGUGAUUAUCUUCAAGUAGAUAAUCAGAAAUUAAUUUUUUUGAGGAUUUACAGCAGAGGGCCCUGAGCAGUAGAUUUUGCAAACAGAUUUUUUAUUUUUCUUAACUUUUGAUUGCAUUUAUUUCAUGCUGAAUUUAUUCCUGUGCCAUAAGUUUUUAUUUCUUCAGUUUCUUCUGGAAUAUCUUUUUCUUCAGUGCAGCCUCUUCUUCUGAUAUGGGAACAAUUUGUUCCUUUUCAGUAAGGAUCGUCUCGAUGUGACUGGGAGAGCCCGUGUAUGGGUUAGUCCAGCCAUGAGCUCUGUAAGUCCAAUGGUGCAUCUUAGGUGCUUUGUUUACCUCGAAAUGCUCAAUGGCCAGAGAAUCUACAUGGAAACCUUUAAGUUCAGCAUUACUUUCGCCAUUUUUAAGCAUGUGCAGCAAAAAUUCACCUGCGUCCAGCCCCACUGUUUGGCCUGGGCACACCUACCGACUCUACCGUUGUAACCUCAGAAUGAUACACACCAUUUCUGUAAAGUGACAUCUUUCAGUUACCUGGUGGCUUUUCAUAUAUGCAACCUUGAUGGCCUGGGCAAUUUCACAAGUGUUUGUAAAGUGAACAUGAAGAUUUAAACCUCUUGAUUUCAUGAUCGUGUAGGGUUUUCGGGGUCAAGUGAGUAGUGAACCAUUUUCACAGAUCACCUCAGUCUGCUUAGGGGAAGAGCAACAAAUUCUUUCAGUUUCCUCUCCCCUGUAAUUUUGUAAAGUAAAUUUUCACUUACCAGUCCUAGAAAGAGGAAAAGGGAACCUAGUAAUUCUAAAUUACUGUGUAACUUUGGUUAAAUACUGUCUUGUCCAGAAGGCAGACUUGGGGCAUUUGAGAAGGUGAAGGGGUCCGUUGAUCGUCCGUUCUCUUAUGCUUCUCUGGUGCGGUGGAUGAGAUACUGAGAAGUCCUCUCGUAUGUGCUCCAGAGACUCCUGGUGAGAGCUAGACUUGGAAAGUGCAAAGGGCAGGGCGUCUGUCCCGCAGCUGGGCGUGACCUCUGGUUGGUUAGUAAGUAACUAGAGGAAGACACUUGGUGCUCUUUGUAAUAGUCGCAGCCUCUUUGUUCCUUACCUCACAGGAAAGAACAGAAUGUCUAAUUAUAAUAAUCUAAUAAUUACAAUAUUUUGCAUUCAUUUUCUUUUAAAAAUCUAUUUGAGUAACUACUAGCCUUCAGAAGAUGCUGGAAAAUAGUAUUUAGGCAGCAGCUGGCAACUCCCAGCAUUGGAGUCGAUGCAGUGCUCAGCUCGUAAAGAUUUCAUUAGCUGGACACACGCGCUGAUUUCCUUCUUGCUGCACAAGUACAUUCUCUUGAGCAGCUGUUUUGGAAAGGGAUGUACAAUAAACUCUUCUGCACUUGUUUUAAAUAUGUGGGUUUUGUUGGAGUGCCGCUUGCCAUCUGGAAGAGAGAGGAGCGAGUGACUUACUUCUUGAGAGGAAGGGUUUGGAAUCUCCACGUGUGUUCUUAAUGCAAUUGAGGUUCCCUGUCAUUUUCAUUCACUGAGGGGUGAUAAUCGGCAGCUGUAGUCAUUUUGUUUUGUCAGCGCCUUAGUAAGUUGCAUGGAUUAAUAGGAUUAAUAGAAAUUAAUCGAGAUGGACCUGAUCAGUGAUUGUUUUAAUUUUUAAAGGCAAAUGUACAAAGGAAAUACAUGAUGUUGUCAACAAGGCGGAGAAAAAUACAGAUAUGCAUAGAAUAAAUUGUGAAAGUCCUCCCCUCAUCCCAGAGCAGCCAAGUGUAGCCCCAUCAGCAGGAAGUUGUCAUGUUCUUCCCUCUUUUUUUCCCACUGUGUCCCAUCUAAUAACUAGCUGUCCAAGUGAUCUGUGAGCAUACUUCUUUAUUCUAGUAGUGACUUGUGGGUGGGUACAUACUGGCAGUCACACACUGGUUCUCUUGAGGUGGCAGUGGCAUCAGGGAACUGGUGGGUGGGGUUUGAGUAGAUGAAAACCCUUCUUGAACAGGACAACUGGCCAAGAAGGCUCGCUGUCCCAGUGUAAUUGGAAUCACAGUAACAACUACUCCCUCACAGUGGGAGUUUCCCAUGUACAGGAGCCUCAGUGCUGUGCAUGUGUGUCACUCACUACCUCAUUUUACAGAUGUGGAAACCUAAGCGCGCAGAAGUCAGCAGCUUGUCCAACAUCCUGCAGCGUAAUAAGAGAUUCCAGUUGAGUCAGUCUGACUCCAGAAUCACGUCCUGACAAUGCUGUGCCAUCUUGUAGGAGCGAAACUCUGUUCUCUGGAAGCUGUUAUAUUUUUAAGUCAUACCUUUUUGGCCCCCAAAUCAGAUCUUUUAUUUUCCCCACAGGAACCCAUGGGGAGAAGACUCAGAAUGACAUAAAUGCAGGAACAAUGAAACUGAGGAGAAAGGGCUAAUGACAGCCCUGACUCUAAGCGAAAGACAUGAGGCCUCAGCCUGAAAUGAGGUUGUUUUGAGGUCAUCUGAUUUCUGACUAGAAGGUGAGCGAUCGCCUCGUCCUGAAACCACUUCAGCCCGAAUGGUAAAUGGCAAAGCCAGCGAGAGCGAGGCCUUCAUGUGUUUCCGUGUCUGUGCUGCCCCAGUUCCUUCCUCUUCAAGAUUAAAAACAUUUUAAAGUUGUAAACCAAAGGUAUUAAACAACAUACUGACAUAUCUUACCUAAAUUAGCUCAAAUGUUUUACAAAAGGGCUUACAUCAUCAAUGCUAAUUAAACCUUUUAGAGCUGUUUAAACAUGGCUUUUUAAAGUGAGCUCUUGUGAGCUACCUAAUCAACAGCAAAGUAUUUAUUAUAUGAAAAAAACCUGAGCCAUUAGGAAUUAGAGACUGAAAUAAUUUUUUUUAAACAGUAGGGUUUGCUCUUAAACAAAAGGGAAUCCAGACUUACAGGUUUUUAGACUAGAAAGUAAGGAUUCUUGCCACAACUUUUUUUUUUCUAUGUUAAAGAAUUUUAAUGUUUUAUGUAUAUGUGUGUGUUUAUUUUACUUUUUAAAAUAUGAAGUGCCUAUGGAGAAUGUUAGUUGUAUCAGUUAGCUUUGAAAGAUUAUAUGUUCAAAUAUAUUUUAUAGUUGAAGAUAAUACAAUGGCUUCUUUUUACAUUUUAGUAAAACUUUUUUGGGUGGAGGGGAGUGUUAUUUAAUUAUGAAAUGUAUUCUGAUGGACCAUGUCCUUUUAAAUAUGUUGAGGUAGCAGUGCUUAUAAGGCAGUUACUAUGUUUAACUCUCCUAAAAAUAGAAUUCCAAUAAGGUUUUUACUUGGAGUUCAGAUUCACACUAAGCUGUUAUUUCAAAUAAGUGGUUCUUUUUGCUACUUCAUUUCUUUUACUACAUGUAACAGCAUUAAUAACAAAUAUAGUACCAUAGAUUUACUUAUCUUUAGCCUAAAUUGUGCAGUCAUUUAAUUGAUGAGAUGCUGAGGAAAUUAAAUUUCAUCUCAUUCUGGAGGGUGUUACAGAAGGCAAAUUGUGAGGAACUGAAAACAUCAUCAUUUUUUUUAAGUCAUCUUUAUUUUCAUGUUUCUCUUCUAGAGACUCAGUUGUCAUGUUAUUCUAUGUUACUUAAUUUCCCUGCAAACAGUAUUUUCUUACUGCUUAAUCUCAGAUGUUGAGAGUAAUUUAACAUUUAUAAAAUGUGUUCUUUUUCUUCAUGUAUGUGGCUUUCUGUAAUGAUAGGGAGAAUUAUUCACAUACACUAAGAAAAAAUUACUCACAAGCUGGCCAUGGAAAUCUGGGCCCCGUUAGGUUGACUGGGAGAGCAGUGAUUUUAUGUGUGUGGGCUGUUAAGAAUUUCUGCUUCCCCGGGCCAGCUUCGCCUU